UCUCCCUUCCCCCCUUUCUCCUUCUCCCCAUCUCUUACAUUGGCCAAAACAGACUGAGUAGAAUUCCAGAGGAUUUAGGGAAUGGUACCUAGGUAUGGGGGAAGAGCCUCUGGGUGGAAAGGAUGAAUGGUAUGGUUCAAUUAGAGAUGGAAAGGAGUUGAGAGAAAACUAAGAGAGAAGUGAGAUUAUUUGCCCAAGGUCACAUGGAGUUCCUUAAGCCAAUGGAAUUGCAGAUUUUUUCAUCAACUGAUACCUUUUCUCAAGAAAAGAAAACAAAAGCAAAACACAGAACAGUAUGAAUGAAGAAAUUGAGCUUCAAAGAAGUUAAUGUGUUUCCAGUUAUAUAUGCGAUCUUGCUGGAGUGGGGGCUCAAAGCUAGCUUUUCUGUCUCCAAAUAUAGUGAUGUCUUUUUUAUGCUUAACCCUGUCCAAGGUUCAACUGGUACUCUACUUCCUGGAAUUUAGUUUCCUUCUGUGGCAUUUAAAAAUCUUCAAGAAAAAUAAUUUCUAGGUAAAUUAAGUAUUUGAUUAAUAAUGCUAGCAUUUUAACAAAAGAAUGAUUACUUGGCUCUUAGACUAAAGAUCUUAAAAAAUGUUUAAAGCAGUUUGUAUUUAAGAACUAAUAUAUAUUUAAUAAAA